CAGUCGCCGCGGUAAAACGGAGGAUGCAAGCGUUAUCCGGAAUGAUUGGGCAUAAAGUGUCUGUAGGUGGCUUUUCAAGUCCGCCGUCAAAUCCCAGGGCUCAACCGUGGACAGGCGGUGGAAACUACCAAGCUGGAGUAUGGUAGGGGCAGAGGGAAUUUCCGGUGGAGCGGUGAAAUGCGUUGAGAUCGGAAAGAACACCAACAGCGAAAUCACUCUGCUAGGCCGACACUGACACUGAGAGACGAAAUCUAGGGGAGCAAAUGGGAUUAGAGACCCCCGUAGUCCCUGUCUCUUAUAC
rnacentral:rRNA from 1 species